GUUCGAUUCUGAAGCUCAGAUUGAACGCUGGCGGGAUGUUACAUGCAAGUCGAACAGCGGCACGGACUUCGGUCUGGUGGCGAGUGGCGAACAGGUGAGUAAUGUAUCGGAACGUGCCUAGUAGCGGAUAACUACGCGGCGUAAUAUGCCACAUACGCCUUCGAGGAAAGCAGGGGACCUUCGGGCCUCUUGACACUAUUAGAGCAGCCGAUAUCGGAUUAGCUAGUUGGUGGGGUAACGGCUCACCAAGGCGGCGAUCAUGGAGCUGGUUUUGAGAGGACGACCAGCCACACUGGGACUGAGACACGUCCCAGACUCCUACGGGAGGCAGCAGUAGAAUUUUGGACAAUGGGAAGUAUGAUCCAUGCAUCCCGCGUGUUGCGAUGAAGGCCUUCAGGUUGUAAAUGUUUUGUUGGCAGGAAAAGAAGAGACGGCGCAGGAUAAUGCCGUGCAACUGACGGUACCUGCAGAAUAAGCACCGGCUAACUACGUGCAGCAACCGCGGUAAUACGUAGGGUGCAAGCGUUAAUCGGAAUUACUGGGCGUAAAGCGUGCGCAGGCGGUUCGAAGAUGUGAAAUCCCAGAGUUUAACUUUGGACAUGCAUUUUUAACUACGAGCUAGAGUGUGUCAGAGGGAGGUGGAAUUCGCGUGGCAGUGAAAUGCGUAGAUGUGGAAGAACACCGAUGGCGAAGGCAGCCUCCUGGGAUAACACCGCGUGCGCAUGCACCGAAAGCGAUAGAGAACAAAACGGAUCGAUGCCCUGGUCCACGCCUAAACGAUGUCAACUGGCUGUAUUUGGGGCCUUCCGGGCCUUGGUAGCGCAGCUAACGCGUGGUUGACCGCCUGCAGAAUACCCGGUCGCAAGAUUAAAACUCCAAAGGAAUUGACGGGGACCCGCACAGGUGGAUGAUGUGGAUUAAUUCGAUGCAACGCGAAAAACCUUACCUACCCUUGACAUGUCUGGAAUCGAAGAGAUUUGGAGGAGUGCUCUGAAAGAGCCGAACACAGGUGCUGCAUAGCGGCUGUCGUCAGCUCGUGUCGUGAGAUGUUAGGUUAAGUCCACAACGAGCGUGAACCCUUAUCGUUAGUUGCUACGAAAGGGCACUCUAAUGAGACUGCCGGUGACAAACCGGAGGAAGGUGGGGAUGACGUCGAAGUCCUCGUGGCCCUUAUGGGUAGGGCUUCACGUCAUGCAAUGGAUCCGGGACAGGAGGAUUAACCAACCUGAGAAACCAAUCAAAACAUGAUGUUAGUCCGGAUCGCAGUCUGCAGCUCGACUGGGACAGUCGGAAUCGCUAGUAAUCGCAGAUCAGCAUGUCGCGGUGAAUACGUUCCACGGGUCUUGUACACCGCCCGUCACACCAUGGGAGUGGGUUUGCGGACAAUUAGCCUAACCGUAAGAGGGAGGGCGAUUACCACGGUAGGAUUCAUGACUGGGGUGAAGUCGUAACAAGGUAG
rnacentral:rRNA from 1 species